rnacentral:rRNA from 1 species
UACGGGGGGAGCAAGCGUUGUUCGGAUUUACUGGGCGUAAAGGGCGCGUAGGCGGUCAGCACAAGUCAGUUGUGAAAUCUCCGGGCUUAACUCGGAAAGGUCAACUGAUACUGUGCGACUAGAGUGCGGAAGGGGCAACUGGAAUUCUCGGUGUAGCGGUGAAAUGCGUAGAUAUCGAGAGGAACACCAGUGGCGAAGGCGAGUCCCUGGACACUUCCUGACACUGAGGCACGAAAGCUAGGGGAGCAAACAGG